UACGUAGGAGGCAAGCGUUGUCCGGAUUUACUGGGCGUAAAGCGCGCGCAGGCGGCAGUGCAAGUAAGGUGUGAAAUCUCCCUGCUCAACGGGGAGGGUGCAUUUUAGACUGCACAGCUAGAGGUCGGUAGAGGGGGGUGGAGUUGCGGGUGUAGAGGUGAAAUGCGUAGAGAUCAGCAGGAACACCCGUGGCGAAGGCGGCUCCCUGGGCCGUACCUGACGCUGAGGCGCGAAGGCUAGGGGAGCGAACGGG
rnacentral:rRNA from 1 species